GGGAUGGACGCACCGCUGGUGUACCAGUUGUUCCGCCAGGAGCAUCGCUGGGUAGCUAUGUGCGGCAGGGAUAAACGCUGAAAGCAUCUAAGCGUGAAGCCCCCCUCAAGAUGAGAUUUCCCAUUUCGUAAGAAAGUAAGAUCCCUGAAAGAUGAUCAGGUAGAUAGGUUUGGAGUGGAAGUAUGGCGACAUAUGGAGCGGACAAAUACUAAUCGAUCGAGGACUUAACCU
rnacentral:rRNA from 1 species